AUUGAACGCUGGCGGCAUGCUUUACACAUGCAAGUCGAACGGUAACAGGGAGCUUGCUCCGCUGACGAGUGGCGAACGGGUGAGUAAUGCGUCGGAACGUGCCGAGUAGUGGGGGAUAACGCAUCGAAAGGUGUGCUAAUACCGCAUACGAACUGAGGUUGAAAGUGGGGGACCUUCGGGCCUCACGCUAUUCGAGCGGCCGACGGCUGAUUAGCGAGUUGGGGAGGUAAAGGCUCACCAAGGCGACGAUCAGUAGCGGGUCUGAGAGGAUGAUCGGCCACACUGGGACUGAGACACGGCCCAGACUCCUACGGGAGGCAGCAGUGGGGAAUUUUGGACAAUGGGCGCAAGCCUGAUCCAGCCAUGCCGCGUGUCUGAAGAAGGCCUUCGGGUUGUAAAGGACUUUUGUCCGGGAGCAAAUGCUGGUGGCUAACAUCCACCGGAGCUGAGAGUACCGGAAGAAUAAGCACCGGCUAACUACGUGCCAGCAGCCGCGGUAAUAC
rnacentral:rRNA from 1 species